rnacentral:lncRNA from 1 species
UUGGUUCGGAGUCUGAUGUAAGUCCAGCGAUUGGCAUUCGGUUUCCAUGUUUGCCUGUUUUGUGUGGAGUCUGACAUAAGUCCAGCGAUUGGCAGUCGGUUUCCUGUGUGGUGUUGUUUGGCGUGCGUUAGCCGAGCUACGAGUGCUCUGAUUCUUCUUUAGUCUGAGAAGAUACGUAUGCAUAGGAUGCGGCAUCCUAGCGAGCACGUUUCCCCCUGUCCCGAACUACGUCGACUCUGAUGUCUGUGUCUGAC